GCGGCGGUGGUGUAAAGGCGUAGAGCAUUCCCGCCCGGUCAGAGGGAGGUGCGGGUUCGAGUCCCGCCUGGCGCU
rfam:Heligmosomoides polygyrus genome assembly, scaffold: HPBE_scaffold0002084